rnacentral:ncRNA from 1 species
UUGGUGGGGUAACGGCCCACCAAGGCGACGAUCAGUAGCCGGUCUGAGAGGAUGAACGGCCACAUUGGGACUGAGACACGGCCCAAACUCCUACGGGAGGCAGCAGUGGGGAAUCUUCCGCAAUGGGCGCAAGCCUGACGGAGCAACGCCGCGUGAGUGAAGAAGGUUUUCGGAUCGUAAAGCUCUGUUGUCAGGGACGAGAGACUUGAUCAGGAAAUGGGUCAAGGAGGACGGUACCUGACGAGAAAGCCACGGCUAACUACGUGCCAGCAGCCGCGGUAAUACGUAGGUGGCGAGCGUUGUCCGGAAUUAUUGGGCGUAAAGGGAGCGCAGGUGGGAUUGUAAGUCAGUCUUAAAAGUUCGGGGCUCAACCCCGUGAUGGGAUUGAAACUAUAAUUCUUGAGUGCAGGAGAGGAAAGCGGAAUUCCUAGUGUAGCGGUGAAAUGCGUAGAUAUUAGGAGGAACACCAGUGGCGAAGGCGGCUUUCUGGACUGUAACUGACACUGAGGCUCGAAAGCGUGGGGAGCGAACAGGAUUAGAUACCCUGGUAGUCCACGCCGUAAACGAUGAAUGCUAGGUGUAGGAGGUAUCGACCCCUUCUGUGCCGGAGUUAACGCAAUAAGCAUUCCGCCUGGGGAGUACGGUCGCAAGACUGAAACUCAAAGGAAUUGACGGGGGCCCGCACAAGCGGUGGAGUAUGUGGUUUAAUUCGACGCAACGCGAAGAACCUUACCAGGUCUUGACAUUGAGUGAAA